ACUACAGCUCCUUGAUAAGCACACAAUGCCACCCCAAUACACAUACACUCACAAUGCAGCCCCUAGAUGCACACGCACAUACUUUACAGGCCCUUUCAGCAUACACACAAUCUCAAAAGCUCCUGUACAUGACCACGUGCUCACACUACAGCCCCUAGUUACACAUAGUACACCAUAAACAGACUCCUCUAUACACACACUUCACCACAGCCCAUUCUAUUAUUAUUAUUAUUACUGCUACUAUUAUUACUGGUAUUUAUAUAGCGCCAGCAUAUUCCAUAGCUUCUAAACACCAUAAAAAAUUAUCUUGCAUCUCUUGAAAAGGUUUUCCAGUUUCCAUUAAAAGGUGUCUGGCCUGUAGUGUUGUGGUUACAAUGGGGACCAUUGAGUGGCUUGUGCAAUUAGGGCCACCCAAUGGGCAUGUGUCUUCAGGGACCCAAAACAGUUUUUGCACCAGGGCCUACUCUACGUUAGUUCCACCACUGUGCAGUAGCUUCCCCGGCAUGGAAGAUCGCCUCCCCGUAUGCAAGCUCCGCCCCCAAUCUCUGACUGAGACACACACAUUCUGACAGACAUACAGUGAUAGGCACACACUCUUCGACUGAGACACACACUGACUAAGACACACACACACACUGAGACACAUACACACAGACACACAGAAUUUUCUCACAAAUUGCUAUUUUUAUUUUAAUUUAAAUCCACCCAGCCUUCCUACCUCUGGGAGAGCUGAGUGGAUCUUUCCCUGGUGUCCAGUGUGUCUCCUGUCAACCUUCCUGCUGUUUCUCUCUGCUCUCCUGCGUGCUCUCUGUAGUGAUGCCACGGCCGGAGUGACAUCAUGUCACUAAACAGCGCGCAAGGGAGCAGAAAGGAACUGCAGGAUGGUUACUGCUCCCUCGUGCACCACUACCAUGCUCCCCGCGGCGGCCGGGUUUAAUGUUUCCUGUUCAGCUUAGUAAGGGCUGACAUAUGCCAGGUGCCAUGGCGAAAUGUCUAGUCACCAUGGCGACCUGGAAUUUGUCGAACCCUGGGUAUGUAUGUGUGUGUGUGUAUAUAUAUAUAACUGCAAUUUUACUCACCGUAAAUUCCUUUUUCCUUAAUAUGGUGGCAGUACAAUAGGGAUGUACUCUUCCCAUGGGACAAGCAUCUGAAAUUAAAAAAUUAACAUAAAAGUUCCUCCCCAACAGGUAUAAGACACCAACCUGCCAUGGAUCCUCAGUAUGUCCCAAUAAAACCUCAGAGACUUAUUACUGCAAAAUUAUCAAAUUUAUUAAGAAAGAGCGGGAGUGAUGUAUUGCCACUAUAUUAAGGAAAAAUUUAUUUACGCUGAGUAAAAUUGCAGCUUUUCCUGACAUAUGGUGGCAGUACAAUAGGGAUAUAUCGAGAUCCCAGAGCUAUGGGCAGGAAUUAGGCAACCACCACUUGUAACACCUUAUGCCCAAAAGCAGCGUCAGAGGCGGAGAAUACGUCUAGUCUGUAAUGCUUGAUGAAGGUGUUGAAUGAAGACCAUGUCGUGGCUCUGUAGAUAUCUUCAGGUGAAGCAUGUUCUUUUUCGGUCAAGGAAGCAGCCAUGGCUCUAGUAGAAUGAGCUUUCAAGGAGGCAGGCAGAGGCAGAUUUGAGGAAGAAUAAGCCAAUUUAAUCGUGUCCACUAGCCAUCUCACUAAAGUAGACUUGGAGGCACAUGACCUUUAGAUUUUCCAAUGAAAUUGACAAAAAAAAUGGUCAGUCUUCCUGUAUGUAGAGGAGCAGUCUAAGUAGAUCUUCAGAGAUCUUCCGAUAUCCAACUUGUGCAAAUUAUCAUCCAAAUCGGAGACAGAUGGAUAACCAAAGGAAGACAGGGAAAUUGGUUGAAUGAUAACUUUGGAAGAGAUUACUUUUGGUAGAAAUUAAGGUUUUGCAUACAUAACAACCUUGUCAGGAAGAGUUUUAGUAAAUUCAGCAGAUGAGGAAAGGGCCUGAAUUUCACCUAUCCUCUUUGCGGAAGUUAUGGCAACCAAAAAUGCAGCUUUCAAAGACAGGAGCUUCAAGGAAGAUUCUGCCAAAGGUUCGAAAGGCUGGGUACAAAGAGACUUCAAAACCAAAGAUAUGUCCCAAGAGGGAAAAAACUCCUUUCUUGGAGGCUUGAUAAAUCAGACAGCCUUAAAAAAUCUCCUAAUGAGAGGUUUUGAAGCUAAGUUCUUUACCAAAAAAUGGCUGAGAGCAGAAACCUGAACUUUGAGAGUAGAUAAACUAAGACCUUUUUGAAGGCCGUCUUGAAAAAAAUGCAAGAUUGUAUUAGUAGAAGGAGAAGAUCUUAUACAAUAAUGAGAGAUGAACCAAUGAAGAAAUUUCGUCCAAAUUGUCAAGUAGAUAGUGGAGGUAGAGCUUCUGGUAGAAUUUAGCAUUAACUUGAACUAUGCGGGAUUAGCCGUGCAGCAGCCAAGCUGUCAAUUUGAACAUUUGCAACACCUCUACUGGAACCCCUUUGUUCUCCUGGAGAUCUGUUAACACCCGAAGUUUACAGUACUUCAAAACCAUCUUCAUAAAAACCAAGAACCAGUUUCAAUUUGGCCAGUAUGGGAUUAUGGCCAGCACCAUUGCUUGUUCUGUUUUCACCAUUUGCAGAAUCCUUGGGAUUAGGCUCACCGGGGGACAUAUGUAUGCAAGGCUGAAGUCCCACCUGAUCAACAGCCCGUCCAGAACCAGAGGCAUGUCUUCCUUGAAGAGGGAGGCAAAUGUUAUCACCUUUGCAUUUGACCUUCUUGCCAUUAGAUCGAUGACAGGCAGACCGAAUCUUUUCACAAGUUCAAAAAAAUUACCAGAUUCAGAGACCACUUGUUCUGGGACCAUUUUGAGCUGCUCAAAUCGUCUGCUAUAAUGUUGUCUAUCCCUCGUAUGUGAGUAGCGGACAGGUCGUCUAGAUGACUUUGAGCCCAGGACAUAAUCCUUGUGCAAAGGGAGUGCAAUUUUGUUACCCUUGUACCUCCCUGUUUUUGAAUUUUUACCGCUUUCCCCACAAUGAGAGCUCUGAACUAAUGAAGAGCAUUUAAGACGGUUAUCAACUCCUUGUAAUUUGAAGAUUACCUUUUUUGUCUUCGGACUAUGUGCCUUGCCUUAAGUGCCACUGCAGGUGAGCCCCCCAACCUGUAUUUGAAGCAUCCAUUGUAAUUUGUGUUGUUUUGGGACCAGGAACAACCGGGAGUAGACACCCUGAUAUAGCUGGGUACUUGGAACUCUUUCUACAACACCUUUCUUUAAAAGAGUGACCGUAGCGGAGAAGAGGACUUGUUUUUUUAGUUUUGAACGGAGGAGGAGACAAGGAAACUUGGUCUUGGAACACCUAAGAACUUUAUUCUGUAUUCUUUCGCAACCAGAUUCAGAAUCCAUGCAUUUGCAGUGGUGCAUCUGUGAGCAAAUUGUUGUAUCCAUCCGCCCACUUUUUGCUCUGUCAGACUUGAUGUCUUUGUGUGUGCCAAACCUUGGAUCUUUCCUUUGUUGACAAAAAAAAAAUGGGUUUGUCUUGAUAUCCCCUAUGGUUCUUGUACUGGAAGUUUUUGUAUCUGGGUUUCCAUGAAUACUUCCUGUUCUGAGGGAGAGCCUUUUUGGUUUCCGACAUUUGUCGAAUUAAUUCUUCCAAAGGAGAACCAAACAAUUUCUUCCUCUCCAAAGGAAGUUCACACAGUGCAGACUUUAAGGCUGUAUCAGCCGUCCAGGCUUUAAGCCAUAGUGCCCUGCAGGCCACAGAUGUCAAACCUAUGACAAGAGCCAAAAGUUUAAUCCACCUCUAUGAUAACAUCUAGCAGGUAAUCAUUGGAUAACCUUAAAUUUUGGAACAGGUGAGAAAGAUCUUGGUAUUCACCCAGGCUAUCUUCCAAUCCUUGAAGCCAAAGGUACUGAGCUUUAGCAACCGAAGCUCCUGCCAAUGCUGCUUUAGCCUGAAAUCCUGCUGCCUGAUAUGCUUAUCUGCUGGAUGUUUUAUCCAUAGGGUCUUUAAGACCAGAGACUUCUCCAAUCCGUAUGGUAGUCUUUUUAGACAACUGAGCAACUACUGGCAAGUCUUUCCACUUGUGUUCUCCGUGUAGUUUAACAAUGCUCUUGAAAUGUCUGGAAAUAAAUGCCGUUUUUUUUAGGGUUCUUCUCCUCUCUGUACAUAAGUUCCAGAAUAUGUUGUUGAACUGGAAGGAUUUUUCUACUUGCUUUAUCUUACGUUUCAUCAGAGAAGGUAACAUUAACUUCCUUAAUAAAUCUCCUCAAUUCUUCAUGUGGAAAACCAACUUUUGUAACAGAAGUGUCACUGGAAGUUUCCGAAUAAGAAGAAAUAGAACAUUCACCCGAAGACAGUUCUGAUUCAGACGAAGAUCUCUUCCGUUUUAUCCCUUGUUUGGUUGUUCUUUUAACAAGAGCUGUAACCUUUGCCUUUGCAGAAUCUUUGAAUGACUCAAAUGUCUGAGCCAGAUUGUCUUGAAACCCAGACAAGAAUGACUUCAUGUCCUAUUGCUUGGACUUUUCCAGCGAUAAGGAUUGCAGGUUUUCUCUUUUUAACCAUCUAGUAGUGGUGUGGAGCAUUCACUACAACUCAGAUGUUUUGAUUUAGAACUGGCUUUUUUAGGAGCAGGACUAGAUAUAUCUGCAAUGUAAAAUUAAAUACAUAAGAUACACAGAGAUCUUGAAGAUUAGAGACUGAAAAAUCUUACCUCUAAAUCCUCUGACCCAUGUGGGGGGUUGGUGACACGGGAGAUCCUUCUUGGCCAGCAUCCAUGCUGUCAGUCAGAUCUGCAGCAUUGAUUCAAAUCUGUCGUAAUUUCCGGGGAAAUGGGAAAAUUACCACCUGGGCAUGCGUUCCACAGCUGUGCGCAUGCAUCUCGUACGGGCAGUGAUUAGCUGCUGCUAGAGAACUCCUACUUGCUUUGCCGAUGACAGCACUCGGCAUAUGGUAAACUAAACAUACCUGCUCCGUAACUCCUGCAGAAUGCACACAGGCCACUCAGCUCUACACCUGGGAGGCUAUUGCCUUGUCAGCAACCCAUGUGCCUCGCCACAAUAAAUCCAGAUUCUGUCCGUUCCUGAUGGAACAAGAAAGAAAACCAAGGUUCCAUGGCA